rnacentral:rRNA from 1 species
GCCGGCGACCAUACCACGUUGAAAGCACCGAUUCUCGUCCGAUCACCGCAGUUAAGCAGUGUUGGGCCCGGUCAGUACUUGCA